rnacentral:rRNA from 1 species
UACGUAGGGGGCGAGCGUUAUCCGGAUUCAUUGGGCGUAAAGCGCGCGUAGGCGGCCAGUUAGGUCGGGAGUCAAAUUUCGGGGCUCAACCCCGUCUCGCUCCCGAUACCGGCUGGCUUGAGUGUGGUAGGGGAAGGCGGAAUUCCCGGUGUAGCGGUGGAAUGCGCAGAUAUCGGGAAGAACACCGGUGGCGAAGGCGGCCGCCUGGCCUGUUACUGACGCUGAGGCACGAAAGCGUGGGGAGCAAAUAGG